rnacentral:rRNA from 1 species
GACGUAGGAGGCGAGCGUUAUCCGGAUUCACUGGGCGUAAAGCGCAUGUAGGCGGUUCGUCAAGUCGUGUGUUAAAGCCCCUGGCUCAACUGGGGAGGCCAUGCGAGACUGACAGACUUGAGGGCAGUAGAGGCACGUGGAACUCCCGGUGUAGCGGUGGAAUGCGUAGAGAUCGGGAAGAACACCCGUGGCGAAGGCGACGUGCUGGGCUGAACCUGACGCUGAGAUGCGAAAGUGUGGGGAGCAAACGGG